rnacentral:rRNA from 1 species
UACGAAUGGGGCGAGCGUUGUUCGGAAUCACUGGGCGUAAAGCGUACGUAGGCGGAUUAGCAAGUCAGAAGUGAAAUCCCGGGGCUUAACCUCGGAAUUGCUUUUGAAACUGCUAGUCUAGAGGCCCGGAGAGGUCAGCGGAAUUCCGAGUGUAGAGGUGAAAUUCGCAGAUAUUCGGAGGAACACCAGUUGCGUAGGCGGCUGGCUGGACGGGCACUGACGCUGAGGUACGAAAGCGUGGGGAUCAAACAGG